rnacentral:sRNA from 2 species
ACGCUGGCUGCGCCGAGUCUCCCGCUGCGCGCGGGAGAGCGGGGGACCCACGGAUGUUCCCACGGGGCGAAUCGCGAUCUGAUGAUCGCGUAGCGCACAGCGCGAGCCCGACAGCUAACCCCGCAGGCAGAGCCGCAGCAACAG